rnacentral:tRNA from 1 species
ACCGCGCUAGCUCAGCUGGUAGAGCAUCUGCCGGGGAUGCGGAAGGUCGCCGGUUCGACUGCGGUUCGCGGCG